GCAAGUCGAACGGUAACAGGAAGCAGCUUGCUGCUUCGCUGACGAGUGGCGGACGGGUGAGUAAUGUCUGGGAAACUGCCUGAUGGAGGGGGAUAACUACUGGAAACGGUGGCUAAUACCGCAUAACGUCGCAAGACCAAAGAGGGGGACCUUCGGGCCUCUUGCCAUCAGAUGUGCCCAGAUGGGAUUAGCUUGUUGGUGAGGUAACGGCUCACCAAGGCGACGAUCCCUAGCUGGUCUGAGAGGAUGACCAGCCACACUGGAACUGAGACACGGUCCAGACUCCUACGGGAGGCAGCAGUGGGGAAUAUUGCACAAUGGGCGCAAGCCUGAUGCAGCCAUGCCGCGUGUAUGAAGAAGGCCUUCGGGUUGUAAAGUACUUUCAGCGGGGAGGAAGGUGUUGUGGUUAAUAACCGCAGCAAUUGACGUUACCCGCAGAAGAAGCACCGGCUAACUCCGUGCCAGCAGCCGCGGUAAUACGGAGGGUGCAAGCGUUAAUCGGAAUUACUGGGCGUAAAGCGCACGCAGGCGGUCUGUCAAGUCGGAUGUGAAAUCCCCGGGCUCAACCUGGGAACUGCAUUCGAAACUGGCAGGCUUGAGUCUUGUAGAGGGGGGUAGAAUUCCAGGUGUAGCGGUGAAAUGCGUAGAGAUCUGGAGGAAUACCGGUGGCGAAGGCGGCCCCCUGGACAAAGACUGACGCUCAGGUGCGAAAGCGUGGGGAGCAAACAGGAUUAGAUACCCUGGUAGUCCACGCCGUAAACGAUGUCUACUUGGAGGUUGUGCCCUUGAGGCGUGGCUUCCGGAGCUAACGCGUUAAGUAGACCGCCUGGGGAGUACGGCCGCAAGGUUAAAACUCAAAUGAAUUGACGGGGGCCCGCACAAGCGGUGGAGCAUGUGGUUUAAUUCGAUGCAACGCGAAGAACCUUACCUGGUCUUGACAUCCACAGAAGAAUCCAGAGAUGGAUUUGUGCCUUCGGGAACUGUGAGACAGGUGCUGCAUGGCUGUCGUCAGCUCGUGUUGUGAAAUGUUGGGUUAAGUCCCGCAACGAGCGCAACCCUUAUCCUUUGUUGCCAGCGGUUAGGCCGGGAACUCAAAGGAGACUGCCAGUGAUAAACUGGAGGAAGGUGGGGAUGACGUCAAGUCAUCAUGGCCCUUACGACCAGGGCUACACACGUGCUACAAUGGCGCAUACAAAGAGAAGCGACCUCGCGAGAGCAAGCGGACCUCAUAAAGUGCGUCGUAGUCCGGAUUGGAGUCUGCAACUCGACUCCAUGAAGUCGGAAUCGCUAGUAAUCGUGGAUCAGAAUGCCACGGUGAAUACGUUCCCGGGCCUUGUACACACCGCCCGUCACACCAUGGGAGUGGGUUGCAAAAGAAGUAGGUAGCUUAACCUUCGGGAGGGCGCUUACCACUUUGUGAUUCAUGACUGGGGUGAAGUCGUAACAAGGUAACCGUAGGGGAACCUGCGGUUGGAUCACCUCCUUACCUUAAAGAA
rnacentral:rRNA from 1 species